rnacentral:rRNA from 1 species
GCAGGCCAACGCUUGAAUACAUUAGCAUGGAAUAAUGAAAUAGGACAUCCGAUUCUAUUUUGUUGGUUUCUAGGAUCGAUGUAAUGAUUAAUAGGGAUAGUUGGGGGCAUUAGUAUUCAAUUGUCAGAGGUGAAAUUCUUGGAUUUAUUGAAGACUAACUACUGCGAAAGCAUUUGCCAAGGAUGUUUUCAUUAAUCAAGAACGAAAGUUAGGGGAUCGAAGACGAUCAGAUACCGUCGUAGUCUUAACCAUAAACUAUGCCGACUAGGGAUCGGAUGAUGUUAAUUUUUUAAUGACUCAUUCGGCGCCUUACGGGAAACCAAAGUGUUUGGGUUCCGGGGGGAGUAUGGUCGCAAGGCUGAAACUUAAAGGAAUUGACGGAAGGGCACCACCAGGGGUGGAGCCUGCG